rnacentral:sRNA from 1 species
CUGCUUUUUAGCAGCAGAGAAUUUGUAGAAGCGAGCGGUCGGAAGUUCGAGCCGAGCGUAGCGAGACAACGUUGCGUUAGCAACGGCCCGCAGGGCGAGGCGCAAGCCGAGUCAUCUUCCUGGGUGCACCA